rnacentral:rRNA from 1 species
GUAGGUGGCAAGCGUUGUCCGGAAUUAUUGGGCGUAAAGCGCGCGCAGACGGUCCUUUAAGUCUGAUGUGAAAGCCCACGGCUCAACCGUGGAGGGUCAUUGGAAACUGGGGGACUUGAGUACAGAAGAGGAAAGCGGAAUUCCAAGUGUAGCGGUGAAAUGCGUAGAGAUUUGGAGGAACACCAGUGGCGAAGGCGGCUUUCUGGUCUGUAACUGACGCUGAGGCGCGAAAGCGUGGGGAGCAAACAGGAUUAGAUACCCUGGUAGUCCACGCCGUAAACGAUGAGUGCUAAGUGUUAGGGGGUUUCCCGCCCCCUUAGUGCUGCAGCUAACGCAUUAAGCACUCCGCCUGGGGAGUACGGCCGCAAGGCUG